rnacentral:rRNA from 1 species
CUGGCGGCGUGCCUAACACAUGCAAGUCGAACGGGGAUUUGUUUCGGCAGAAUCCUAGUGGCGAACGGGUGAGUAACGCGUAGGCAACCUGCCCUCCGCCGGGGACAACACUCCGAAAGGGGUGCUAAUACCGGAUACGAAGUCUGUGCCGCAUGGUACGGAUUUGAAAGAUGGCCUCUAUUUAUAAGCUAUCGCCGGGGGAUGGGCCUGCGUCCGAUUAGCUGGUUGGUGGGGUAACGGCCUACCAAGGCGACGAUCGGUAGCCGGUCUGAGAGGAUGAACGGCCACAUUGGGACUGAGACACGGCCCAGACUCCUACGGGAGGCAGCAGUGGGGAAUCUUCCGCAAUGGGCGCAAGCCUGACGGAGCAACGCCGCGUGAGUGAGGAAGUUCUUCGGAACGUAAAGCUCUGUUGUUCCUGACGAACCUCCCUUCUAUCAACAACGGAGGGGACUGACGGUAGGGAACGAGGAAGCCACGGCUAACUACGUGCCAGCCGCGGC